rnacentral:tRNA from 1 species
AAUUUUAUAGUUUAAUGAGAAUGACAAAUUGCAAAUUUGUAGGUAAUUAUAAGUUUAAAAUUU